rnacentral:rRNA from 1 species
GAUGAACGCUGGCGGCGUGCCUAAUACAUGCAAGUCGAGCGAACAGACGAGGAGCUUGCUCCUCUGACGUUAGCGGCGGACGGGUGAGUAACACGUGGAUAACCUACCUAUAAGACUGGGAUAACUUCGGGAAACCGGAGCUAAUACCGGAUAAUAUAUUGAACCGCAUGGUUCAAUAGUGAAAGACGGUUUUGCUGUCACUUAUAGAUGGAUCCGCGCCGCAUUAGCUAGUUGGUAAGGUAACGGCUUACCAAGGCAACGAUGCGUAGCCGACCUGAGAGGGUGAUCGGCCACCCUGGAACUGAGACACGGUCCAGACUCCUACGGGAGGCAGCAGUAGGGAAUCUUCCGCAAUGGGCGAAAGCCUGACGGAGCAACGCCGCGUGAGUGAUGAAGGUCUUCGGAUCGUAAAACUCUGUUAUUAGGGAAGAACAAAUGUGUAAGUAACUAUGCACGUCUUGACGGUACCUAAUCAGAAAGCCACGGCUAACUACGU